GACGAACGCUGGCGGCGUGCCUAAUACAUGCAAGUUGAGCGAUGAAGAUUGGUGCUUGCACCAAUUUGAAGAGCAGCGAACGGGUGAGUAAAGCGUGGGGAAUCUGCCUUUGAGCGGGGGACAACAUUUGGAAACGAAUGCUAAUACCGCAUAACAACUUUAAACAUAAGUUUUAAGUUUGAAAGAUGCAAUUGCAUCACUCAAAGAUGAUCCCGCGUUGUAUUAGCUAGUUGGUGAGGUAAAGGCUCACCAAGGCGAUGAUACAUAGCCGACCUGGGAGGGGGGUGCGCCAAAUUGGGAAUGAGACACGGCCCAAACUCCUUCGGGAAGGAACAGGAGGGAAUCUUCGGGAAUAGACGAAAGUCUGACCGAGCAACGCCGGGGGAGGUAAGAAGGGUUUCGGAUCGUAAAACUCUGUUGGUAGAGAAGAACGUUGGUGAGAGUGGAAAGCUCAUAAAGUGACGGUAACUACCCAGAAAGGGACGGCUAACUACGUG
rnacentral:rRNA from 1 species